CCUACGGGAGGCAGCAGUGGGGAAUAUUGCGCAAUGGGCGAAAGCCUGACGCAGCGACGCCGCGUGAGGGAUGAAGGUCUUCGGAUCGUAAACCUCUGUCAGCAGGGAAGUACGGUCACUGUGCUAAUCAGCAGUGAAUUGACGGUACCUGCAAAGGAAGCACCGGCUAACUCCGUGCCAGCAGCAGCGGUAAUACGGAGGGUGCGAGCGUUAAUCGGAAUUACUGGGCGUAAAGCGCUCGUAGGCGGUAUGUCAAGUCAAGGGUGAAAUCCCCGCGCUCAACGUGGGAACUGCCUUUGAAACUGGCAGACUGGAGUGUGUGAGAGGAUAGUGGAAUUCCAGGUGUAGGAGUGAAAUCCGUAGAUAUCUGGAGGAACAUCAGUGGCGAAGGCGACUAUCUGGCACAUAACUGACGCUGAGGAGCGAAAGCGUGGGUAGCAAACAGGAUUAGAUACCCUUGUAGUC
rnacentral:rRNA from 1 species